rnacentral:rRNA from 1 species
CCUACGGGAGGCAGCAGUCGAGAAUCUUUCACAAUGGGGGCAACCCUGAUGGAGCGACGCCGCGUGGAGGAUAAGGUCUUCGGAUUGUAAACUCCUGUCAUACGCGAACAAAUUCACGAAAGUGAACUGAUAGUACCGUAAGAGGAAGAGGCGGCUAACUCUGUGCCAGCAGCCGCGGUAAUACAGAGGCCUCAAGCGUUGUUCGGAAUCACUGGGCGUAAAGGGUGCGUAGGUGGUUGUCAAAGUCAACCGUGAAAUCUCAUCGCUCAACGAUGAAACUGCGGUCGAUACUCGGCAACUAGAGGGCUUUUGAGGAUCUUGGAAUUCACGGUGUAGCAGUGAAAUGCGUAGAUAUCGUGAGGAACACCAAAGGCGAAGGCAAAGAUCUGGGAAGAUCCUGACACUGAGGCACGAAGGCCAGGGUAGCAAACGGGAUUAGAUACCCCUGUAGUC